GACGAACCGUGCGAACGUUGUUCGGAAUCACUGGGCUUAAAGGGCGCGUAGGCGGGUGAUCAAGUCAGGGGUGAAAUCCUUCCGCUCAACGGGAGAACAGCUUCUGAUACUGGUCAUCUUGAGGGAGGUAGGGGCAUGUGGAAUUCCUGGUGUAGCGGUGGAAUGCGCAGAUAUCAGGAGGAACACCAAUAGCGAAGGCAGCUCGCUGGGACGUUACUGACACUGAGGCGCGAAAGCGUGGGGAGCGAACAGG
rnacentral:rRNA from 1 species